CGGGGUGUGGCGCAGCUUGGUAGCGCGUCUCGUUCGGGACGAGAAGGGCGCAGGUUCAAAUCCUGUCACCCCGACCA
rnacentral:tRNA from 1 species